CAUAGAUCAUGUGACUGCUGUUCCAUACAGUUAGGAGAGAUGCGAUGUAGAUUCUGUAUUCUCUGACUCCCCUGCUGCACUGUAUAACACACAGAGUGCAGGAGGAAAAUAUUCCAAACCGUGUAGACUCCAAGCAAAGAGCCAACCCAUUACCGGCAAUCAGAGAGCAGAAUCAACGAACCAAGAGAAGGACAAACCAAUUCUUGCUGGAGAAAAAGUCCUAUUUUAACUUUAAUCAUUAUUCCAGACCUCUCAACCAGUAAAGUUGGCAACACUGAGCACAAGGUGUCAUCAACUCUCUGGCAAUGGAAUCCAAGAAAGUUAAAGGGGGAGCACAAAAGGAAAGAGAAAAGAAACGAAGGAAGUUGCUAGAAGCUGCUAAUCAAUGUGUUAAAUUGGAUAAUUUUUUUGUAAAACAACCUAGCACUACUCAGAGGUCUGUUCAGUCAGCGGAAGUGGCAGGACUUAGUGAACAGAAUGUGGAAGAGGUAAAGCAAGACAAGCGACAGCCAUCAAUUGGUCCUGAUGCUGCUUCAUUGUUUGGACAUUCUGAAUCUGAAAUGCCAAGUAUCUCCUCUUCUCUAUUGAAUAUCAAUGUGCAUCAUGAUAAACCAGGCCAAUCCACAGAUCAUAGCGACAUAAUGUUACCUGUAGGCUCUGAUGUGUCUGUAAGUGGGGAGAUUGUUGAAAGUUCUGCCAGGUCAGUAGAAUGUGCGUGUAGUGAGGAUGAUGUUGUCUAUAAUCUCUUCGCAAGACCACGGGUAGGAGAGAGACCAUUCUUUUUUAUGAACCAUCCUAUUCAACCAUUUGAUGAUUAUGAUUUGCCAUUUACACCUAUAAAAGUGUUUAAGAGAAAAGAUGGCUCAAAGCGACUUUGGGUUACUUAUGACAAAGCUUCAAAUGCUCUGUAUUGUACAGUAUGUUUAGCAUAUAGCAAAGAUACCGAAAGUAAUGUCUUCAUUGGAGGUAUGAAGUCAUGGUCACAUGUCUAUCAAAGAAUUGCUGAACACGAAAAAUCAAAGCAUCACAAUCGCUGUGCUGAGGCCCAUUUCUAUAAUGUAAAGCAUAAAGAUGUUGAACAGCUGGUGUACACUGCACACAAAUAAUACAUAGACAAAAGGUCAUAGGUAACAGAUAAGUUGUGGAAGGAGUGAGUAAUGUUAUAAAGCGUAUAGGUAAACGAGGUUUGAGCUGCCAAGGUAAGACUGCAGAAGGUGUGUAUACUUUGGAUGAUUCUGUUUUACAUCAUGUUAACUUACUAGGGGUUGGGUACGAAAUCUCGACGGUCAGGAUGCCAACAGCUGCAUCCAGACAGUCAAAACUCAGAUGGAUUCCAGUAAGUAUUUAAACCCUACCUCUCACCUUUCCCUUAACCCACCCCUCCUGCAGCCUGACCCUAACUAUCCCCUCCUUCUACCUAACCCUAACCUUCCCCACCAUCGCAGACUAAUCCUCCCCCUAGUUCCUAACCCCAACACUA